rnacentral:rRNA from 1 species
GGGUUUGAUACUGGCUCAGAACGUACGCUGACGGAAUGGAUUAGGCAUGCAAGUCGUACGAGCGAACUCUUCGGAGUGAGCGAGUGGCGAACGGGUGAGUAAUGCGUGGAUGACCUACCCUGAUGAGGGGGAUAACCAUUCGAAAGGAUGGCUAAUACCGCAUACGGUCGCCAGGUUUUCCUGGUGAUCAAAGCUGGCUUCGGCUGGCGCUUCAGGAGGGGUCCACGUGCUAUUAGUUUGUUGGUGGGGUAACGGCCUACCAAGACUAUGAUGGCUAGCCGGCCUGAGAGGGUGUCCGGCCACACUGGGACUGAGACACUGCCCAGACUCCUACGGGAGGCUGCAGUCGAGAAUCUUCCACUAAUGCGCGAAAGCGUGAUGGAGCAAUUCCGUGUGAGCGAUGAAGGCCUUAGGGUUGUAAAGCUCUGUUGGAGGGGCGUAAUCCCCGGGAGAGAAUAUCUUUCCGGGUUGAACUCCCCUCGGAGGAAGCAGCGGCUAAAUUCGUGCCAGCAGCCGCGGUAAUACGAAUGCUGCAAGCGUAGUUCGGAAUCACUGGGCAUAAAGGGCACGUAGGCGGCCCGACAAGUCAGUUGUGAAAUCCCCCGGCUUAACCGAGGAACUGCAACUGAUACUGUCGAGCUUGAGUACGGGAGGGGAGAGCGGAAUUCCUGGUGGAGCGGUGAUAUGCGUAGAGAUCAGGAGGAACGCCGGUGGCGAAAGCGGCUCUCUGGACCGUUACUGACGCUGAGGUGCGAAAGCUAGGGGAGCAAACAGGAUUAGAUACCCUGGUAGUCCUAGCCGUAAACGAUGGGUACUAAGUGGGGGGGCUCCCAAGGCCUCCCUGCCGGAGCUAAUGUGUUAAGUACCCCGCCUGGGGAGUAUGGUCGCAAGGCUAAAACUCAAAGUAAUUGACGGGGGCUCACACAAGCGGUGGAGCAUGUUGUUUAAUUCGAUGCAACGCGAAGAACCUUACCUGGGCUUGACAUUCAUGUGGUACCAAACCGAAAGGGGCGGGACCGUCUUUUGGCGGAGCAUGAACAGGUAUUGCAUGGCUGUCGUCAGCUCGUGUCGUGAGAUGUUGGGUUAAGUCCCGUAACGAGCGCAACCCUUAUCCUUAGUUACCAGCGAGUAAAGUCGGGGACUCUAAGGAGACUGCCGGUGUCAAACCGGAGGAAGGCGGGGACGACGUCAAGUCAUCAUGGUCCUUACGCCCAGGGCCACAAACGUGCUACAAUGGUCGGUACAAAGGGCAGCAAACCCGUGAGGGUAAGCAAAUCCCAAAAAGCCGGCCCCAGUUCGGAUUGAAGGCUGCAAUUCGCCUUCAUGAAGUCGGAAUCGCUAGUAAUCGCAGAUCAGCCAUGCUGCGGUGAAUGUGUUCCUGAGCCUUGUACACACCGCCCGUCAAGCCACCCAAAUGGUCCGCACCCGAAGUCGCUACCUUAACCAGCUUGCUGGAGAGGGGCGCCGAAGGUGAGGGUCGUGAGGGGGACUAAGUCGUAACAAGGUAGCCGUAGGGGAACCUGCGGCUG